CUCUCUCUCAUUACAUUUCAUACUUUCACUUGCAUUUUGUGUUACUACCCAAAAACCCUAUUUAGAUUUUCAUGGCCAUAUAUACUAAACACUAUGUUGUUGUUGUUUAUACGUUUAUUUUGCUUUUGGAUCACCAUUUUGACCUCGUUUCUGCAUACCAUCCGCAUAAAAUCCGGCCACCGGCACCGGUACAAUCUUUGAUCAAGUCGAGCAAUCGGCCUCCUACACGGGGUUUAGUCAAGUCAAACCCUCGAACAGUUGCACAAGUUUUAGUCAAGUCAAAUCCUCGAGCACCUGCACAAGUUUCAGUCAAGUCAAAUCCUCGAGCACCUGCACGAGUUUCGGUCAAGUCAAACUCUCGAGCACCUGCACGAGCUUCAGUCAAGUCAAACCCUCAAGCAUCUGCACAAGAUUUAAUCAAGGGGAACCCAGAAAUGAUCGGCGCUCGGAUCAUCAAUAGGUAUAAGAAGAUACAGACAGAUGCCUAUAGGCCCACCUCUCCUGGAAAUAGCCCUGGCAUGGGACAUGAUGUACCUCCUAGAGGCUAGCUGAGGUACCAUGAUAUCAAACCUUAAUAUCCCAAAAAAGGCACUUAAUUUUGUCUUAAUGGUGAUGUGUGUGGUGAGUUCUAAUUAAGAAUGUUUUGUUUGUGGAUCGAUCGAUGAAAAAUAAAAUAUGAUUGGUCCUAGAUUACCCUCCCUAUUUUCUAUUCAAUAAUAUUAUUGUAGGGAAAAAAAAUGGUGAUGAAUUAGAGAUAUAUGUAGAUGAGUUUGCAUGCAUGCAACAUCUUUCUUUUUGUUCUUUAGUGAAAUUGGAUUUCUAAUUUGUUAUGCUUGUAAAAUUUCUUGCAGAAAAGGAAAAGGAAAAAGAAAAAAAAAAAAAGAAACUAUAUCUAUCCAAUUAUUCAUGGAAGGAUUUUUCCUCAUUCACUUUUGC
rnacentral:lncRNA from 1 species